GUCUCUGAUCAUCCUCAGCUCAGAGCUCCAGAGAGCCACCCAGGAUGGGAAAUGUUUAUCUGGUCCACAAGUGUAACUGUGAGCUUGGCACAUCACGGCUAUUCACACACGGGUCACGGUUGCUGCAAGAACAAUUUCUCUUACCAGCUUCCACCCUGGCAUGUAAAAACAGUCCUGAUUACUGCUUGGAAACUCUGCUGAAGGCAAGAUUUUUCUCUGCCCAAGGAUUACUCCUGUCUGUGCUCCUAUCUUCAGAGGAUGAACUGGACGCGGUGUGCCAUAGCUGCAAGAAGCAGGAGGGUGCACGAAGUAUGAAGUGUAUGAGAUGUUAUGGCUCUAUUUUCUUGGCAGAUGGAAAGAAGCCUGGGCCUGACUCCACAAAUUCUUCUUGUGGAGAUCAAGGAGAUUUCAGCCUGGCUCCCCCCGUGGGGAGAGGCCACUCACCAUGGGAACUCACCAGCUCUGUUUUGCCCUCUCCCUGA
rnacentral:lncRNA from 1 species